CCUACGGGAGGCAGCAGUGGGGAAUAUUGGACAAUGGGGGGAACCCUGAUCCAGCCAUGCCGCGUGUGUGAAGAAGGCCCUCGGGAUGUAAAGCACUUUCAGUGAGGAAGAACGCCUGGUGGUUAAUACCCAUCAGGAAAGACAUCACUCACAGAAGAAGCACCGGCUAACUCCGUGCCAGCAGCCGCGGUAAUACGGAGGGUGCGAGCGUUAAUCGGAAUUACUGGGCGUAAAGCGCGCGUAGGUGGCUUGAUAAGCCGGUUGUGAAAGCCCCGGGCUCAACCUGGGAACGGCAUCCGGAACUGUCAAGCUAGAGUGCAGGAGAGGAAGGUAGAAUUCCCGGUGUAGCGGUGAAAUGCGUAGAGAUCGGGAGGAAUACCAGUGGCGAAGGCGGCCUUUUGGACUGACACUGACACUGAGGUGCGAAAGCGUGGGUAGCAAACAGGAUUAGAUACCCCUGUAGUC
rnacentral:rRNA from 1 species